rnacentral:rRNA from 1 species
CAAGUGAAGAAGCGCAUACGGUGGAUGCCUUGGCAGUCAGAGGCGAUGAAAGACGUGGUAGCCUGCGAAAAGCUUCGGGGAGUCGGCAAACAGACUUUGAUCCGGAGAUCUCUGAAUGGGGGAACCCACCUAGGAUAACCUAGGUAUCUUGUACUGAAUCCAUAGGUGCAAGAGGCGAACCAGGGGAACUGAAACAUCUAAGUACCCUGAGGAAAAGAAAUCAACCGAGAUUCCCUUAGUAGUGGCGAGCGAACGGGGAUUAGCCCUUAAGCUUCAUUGAUUUUAGCGGAACGCUCUGGAAAGUGCGGCCAUAGUGGGUGAUAGCCCCGUACGCGAAAGGAUCUUUGAAGUGAAAUCGAGUAGGACGGAGCACGAGAAACUUUGUCUGAACAUGGGGGACCAUCCUCCAAGGCUAAAUACUACUGACUGACCGAUAGUGAACCAGUACCGUGAGGGAAAGGCGAAAAGAACCCCGGAGAGGGGAGUGAAAUAGAACCUGAAACCGUAUGCGUACAAGCAGUGGGAGCCUACUUGUUAGGUGACUGCGUACCUUUUGUAUAAUGGGUCAGCGACUUAUAUUCAGUGGCAAGCUUAACCGUAUAGGGUAGGCGUAGCGAAAGCGAGUCUUAAUAGGGCGUUUAGUCGCUGGGUAUAGACCCGAAACCGGGCGAUCUAUCCAUGAGCAGGUUGAAGGUUAGGUAACACUGACUGGAGGACCGAACCCACUCCCGUUGAAAAGGUAGGGGAUGACUUGUGGAUCGGAGUGAAAGGCUAAUCAAGCUCGGAGAUAGCUGGUUCUCCUCGAAAGCUAUUUAGGUAGCGCCUCAUGUAUCACUCUGGGGGGUAGAGCACUGUUUCGGCUAGGGGGUCAUCCCGACUUACCAAACCGAUGCAAACUCCGAAUACCCAGAAGUGCCGAGCAUGGGAGACACACGGCGGGUGCUAACGUCCGUCGUGAAAAGGGAAACAACCCAGACCGCCAGCUAAGGUCCCAAAGUUGUGGUUAAGUGGUAAACGAUGUGGGAAGGCUUAGACAGCUAGGAGGUUGGCUUAGAAGCAGCCACCCUUUAAAGAAAGCGUAAUAGCUCACUAGUCGAGUCGGCCUGCGCGGAAGAUGUAACGGGGCUCAAACCACACACCGAAGCUGCGGGUGUCACGUAAGUGACGCGGUAGAGGAGCGUUCUGUAAGCCUGUGAAGGUGAGUUGAGAAGCUUGCUGGAGGUAUCAGAAGUGCGAAUGCUGACAUGAGUAACGACAAUGGGUGUGAAAAACACCCACGCCGAAAGACCAAGGGUUCCUGCGCAACGUUAAUCGACGCAGGGUUAGUCGGUUCCUAAGGCGAGGCUGAAAAGCGUAGUCGAUGGGAAACAGGUUAAUAUUCCUGUACUUCUGGUUACUGCGAUGGAGGGACGGAGAAGGCUAGGCCAGCUUGGCGUUGGUUGUCCAAGUUUAAGGUGGUAGGCUGAAAUCUUAGGUAAAUCCGGGGUUUCAAGGCCGAGAGCUGAUGACGAGUCGUCUUUUAGAUGACGAAGUGGUUGAUGCCAUGCUUCCAAGAAAAGCUUCUAAGCUUCAGGUAACCAGGAACCGUACCCCAAACCGACACAGGUGGUCGGGUAGAGAAUACCAAGGCGCUUGAGAGAACUCGGGUGAAGGAACUAGGCAAAAUGGCACCGUAACUUCGGGAGAAGGUGCGCCGGCUAGGGUGAAGGAUUUACUCCGUAAGCUCUGGCUGGUCGAAGAUACCAGGCCGCUGCGACUGUUUAUUAAAAACACAGCACUCUGCAAACACGAAAGUGGACGUAUAGGGUGUGACGCCUGCCCGGUGCCGGAAGGUUAAUUGAUGGGGUUAGCGCAAGCGAAGCUCUUGAUCGAAGCCCCGGUAAACGGCGGCCGUAACUAUAACGGUCCUAAGGUAGCGAAAUUCCUUGUCGGGUAAGUUCCGACCUGCACGAAUGGCGUAACGAUGGCGGCGCUGUCUCCACCCGAGACUCAGUGAAAUUGAAAUCGCUGUGAAGAUGCAGUGUAUCCGCGGCUAGACGGAAAGACCCCGUGAACCUUUACUGUAGCUUUGCACUGGACUUUGAGCCUGCUUGUGUAGGAUAGGUGGGAGGCUUUGAAGCGUGGACGCCAGUUCGCGUGGAGCCAUCCUUGAAAUACCACCCUGGCAUGCUUGAGGUUCUAACUCUGGUCCGUAAUCCGGAUCGAGGACAGUGUAUGGUGGGCAGUUUGACUGGGGCGGUCUCCUCCUAAAGAGUAACGGAGGAGUACGAAGGUGCGCUCAGACCGGUCGGAAAUCGGUCGUAGAGUAUAAAGGCAAAAGCGCGCUUGACUGCGAGACAGACACGUCGAGCAGGUACGAAAGUAGGUCUUAGUGAUCCGGUGGUUCUGUAUGGAAGGGCCAUCGCUCAACGGAUAAAAGGUACUCCGGGGAUAACAGGCUGAUACCGCCCAAGAGUUCAUAUCGACGGCGGUGUUUGGCACCUCGAUGUCGGCUCAUCACAUCCUGGGGCUGAAGCCGGUCCCAAGGGUAUGGCUGUUCGCCAUUUAAAGUGGUACGCGAGCUGGGUUUAGAACGUCGUGAGACAGUUCGGUCCCUAUCUGCCGUGGACGUUUGAGAUUUGAGAGGGGCUGCUCCUAGUACGAGAGGACCGGAGUGGACGAACCUCUGGUGUUCCGGUUGUCACGCCAGUGGCAUUGCCGGGUAGCUAUGUUCGGAAAAGAUAACCGCUGAAAGCAUCUAAGCGGGAAACUUGCCUCAAGAUGAGAUCUCACUGGGAACUUGAUUCCCCUGAAGGGCCGUCGAAGACUACGACGUUGAUAGGCUGGGUGUGUAAGCGUUGUGAGGCGUUGAGCUAACCAGUACUAAUUGCCCGUGAGGCUUGACCA